rnacentral:rRNA from 1 species
UGUAAGCCUGUGAAGGUGGCCUGUGAGGGUUGCUGGAGGUAUCAGAAGUGCGAAUGCUGACAUAAGUAACGAUAAAGCGGGUGAAAAGCCCGCUCGCCGGAAGACCAAGGGUUCCUGUCCAACGUUAAUCGGGGCAGGGUGAGUCGACCCCUAAGGCGAGGCCGAAAGGCGUAGUCGAUGGGAAACGGGUUAAUAUUCCCGUACUUGGUGUUACUGCGAAGGGGGGACGGAGAAGGCUAUGUUGGCCGGGCGACGGUUGUCCCGGUUUAAGCGUGUAGGUGUGUGUUCCAGGUAAAUCCGGUUCACUUUAACACUGAGGCGUGAUGACGAGGCACUACGGUGCUGAAGCAACAAAUGCCCUGCUUCCAGGAAAAGCCUCUAAGCAUCAGGUAACAUCAAAUCGUACCCCAAACCGACACAGGUGGUCAGGUAGAGAAUACCAAGGCGCUUGAGAGAACUCGGGUGAAGGAACUAGGCAAAAUGGUGCCGUAACUUCGGGAGAAGGCACGCUGACACGUAGGUGAAGUGAUUUACUCAUGGAGCUGAAGUCAGUCGAAGAUACCAGCUGGCUGCAACUGUUUAUUAAAAACACAGCACUGUGCAAACACGAAAGUGGACGUAUACGGUGUGACGCCUGCCCGGUGCCGGAAGGUUAAUUGAUGGGGUCAGCGCAAGCGAAGCUCCUGAUCGAAGCCCCGGUAAACGGCGGCCGUAACUAUAACGGUCCUAAGGUAGCGAAAUUCCUUGUCGGGUAAGUUCCGACCUGCACGAAUGGCGUAAUGAUGGCCAGGCUGUCUCCACCCGAGACUCAGUGAAAUUGAACUCGCUGUGAAGAUGCAGUGUACCCGCGGCAAGACGGAAAGACCCCGUGAACCUUUACUAUAGCUUGACACUGAACAUUGAGCCUUGAUGUGUAGGAUAGGUGGGAGGCUUUGAAGUGUGGACGCCAGUCUGCAUGGAGCCGGCCUUGAAAUACCACCCUUUAAUGUUUGAUGUUCUAACGUGGACCCGUGAUCCGGGUUGCGGACAGUGUCUGGUGGGUAGUUUGACUGGGGCGGUCUCCUCCUAAAGAGUAACGGAGGAGCACGAAGGUUGGCUAAUCCUGGUCGGACAUCAGGAGGUUAGUGCAAUGGCAUAAGCCAGCUUGACUGCGAGCGUGACGGCGCGAGCAGGUGCGAAAGCAGGUCAUAGUGAUCCGGUGGUUCUGAAUGGAAGGGCCAUCGCUCAACGGAUAAAAGGUACUCCGGGGAUAACAGGCUGAUACCGCCCAAGAGUUCAUAUCGACGGCGGUGUUUGGCACCUCGAUGUCGGCUCAUCACAUCCUGGGGCUGAAGUAGGUCCCAAGGGUAUGGCUGUUCGCCAUUUAAAGUGGUACGCGAGCUGGGUUUAGAACGUCGUGAGACAGUUCGGUCCCUAUCUGCCGUGGGCGCUGGAGAACUGAGGGGGGCUGCUCCUAGUACGAGAGGACCGGAGUGGACGCAUCACUGGUGUUCGGGUUGUCAUGCCAAUGGCACUGCCCGGUAGCUAAAUGCGGAAGAGAUAAGUGCUGAAAGCAUCUAAGCACGAAACUUGCCCCGAGAUGAGUUCUCCCUGAGACUUUAGGUCUCCUGAAGGAACGUUGAAGACGACGACGUUGAUAGGCCGGGUGUGUAAGCGCAGCGAUGCGUUGAGCUAACCGGUACUAAUGAACCGUGAGGCUUAACCUUACA